AUGUGGUCCAUGGUAAAGAAGGGUGAAGGUUCUAGGAAACAAAAGCCCUGUCAGGCAGCCACUCCAGAGCUACAGUUCGAUGCUCUGGAAAGAGGAGCACAAAUCUUUGGUAGACAGACAACUGUCAGUUCCAUAAUGUUCAAUACAACAGUCAUUAUUCUCUUGGAAACAUAUUUAAAUCAUUUGGAAGAAAAUGCCUUAGUUGAGUUUUCUGUAUGCCCCCUUAUAUAGUAGAUGAAUCAUUCUUCUUUAAAUAACGUAGCCAUUUUCCAAAAGCAAGAUAAGCAAGCCCAACAAAAUGAGUAAAAAUUAUUCAGGUCAUUAAAGAGAUAGAUAUAUCACACUGUGCAGCGUUUACCAUAGAAAGUUAUACAGGUUGUUCAUCAAAUAAAGUUGACAGCCACAGAGCUCCUUGGAAGCUGAAGUCCAGCCAGCUCCUCUUAGCAAACUAUUCACCCUGGUACUUGCCUGUUUCACCCCCCAAAGAGGCACACUUUCUUUUUUUAAGAAAAGCUCAAAUUUACUUAAUGGUAUGCUUUUAUGUAAUUUGCACAAAGGCAUCAUACAAGCCAUAAGCAGCCCUGUCUGCUGACUCUAUGAAGACAGACAUUUUAAAUGUCUAAAUUAGUUCCUGAUACAUAGUAAAAACUCAAUAGAUAUUUGUUGAAUAAAUACACAAAAGCAUUGAGCCAUGGAUCGAUAUGUAACUAGAAAGAUGCUUAUAAUGGCAUAGUUUAAUACUCUGUCAUUGACCUUGAGACUAGUCAACAUUUUUAUUAAAGCCUUAGCUAUAGAAAGAGAAAUAAUAGGCCAGGCGCAGUGGCUUACGCCUGUAAUUCCAGCACUUUGGGAGGCCAAGGCGGGCAGAUCACGAGGUCAGGAGAUCGAAACCAUCCUGGCGAACACUGUGAAACCCCGUCUCUAUUAAAAAUACAAAAAAAAUUAGCCGGGCUUGGUGGCGGGUGCCUGUAGUCCCAGCUACUCGGGAGGCUGAGGCAGGAGAAUGGCGUGAACCCGGAAAGCGGAGCUUGCAGUGAGCCGAGAUCGCGCCACUGCACUCCAGCCCGGGCAACAGAGCGAGACUCCGUCUCACAACAAAAAGAAAGAGAAAUAAUACUGAUUAAAUUUUCAGAUGAGCCACAUCUGAAAAAAAAAUUUUCAAAGGAAUUGAUGACAGUAUCAAGGUUCAAAAAUAAAAAUGACAGGGUAAAUAAUUAGGGCCCUCACUAACACAAGUCAACUUAAUCAAAAUAAAUAUCUCGCUUGUACACAGAAUAAAAAUCAAUUUUCUAAGUGUAUGCAUCUUGACAAAAAGCAGUUUAUAUUUUUUAAAAGCUUUAAAUUCUUUUGUUGACUAAAAUUAUAAAAGUAAUUAACAAUAUGAUGCAGUGCGAAAAAUAGCAAAUGAUUAAUUAACAUAUCCAAACUUAAAGUAGACUGAUUUGCCAUUAUACAUCUUAAGUAUUAUAUCCAGUUUGAGAUGUCAUACUUUAAAAGCUUGGGUUUUUUCAUAAAGGCAGAGUUUUUCCAGAGCAAUACUUGGCCUACAGAGAUAGAACGAGGGGGAAACAAUUAGCGUUUAUUCAGUAUUUGUCAAGCAAGUGACAAUUGUUACCAUCUCCCGUGGAGGAUUCCAAUGAGGGGAGAAUAGUAAAGAGGUUAACAGUGCCUACCACUGGGAGCAGCAGUCAUGGAAUGUUAACCUACUGCAUGGUUCGCAGGUGUUGGGAUCUCCAAGAAAGACUCACAGGAGUACUGGAUGGAACAAUGCUUUACUAUCAUGUAGAAGAGACAGAGAAAGCCCAGUUUCAACAGUCAUAUUUUAAUCUUAUAUGAAUUUCAUAUGAAAAAUGAGAAAAGCACCCACUCAUCAUACAAAAGGGACACGAGUGAGUUUGGACUGAAAAAAAGAUGACAAAAAGGAAAAAGAACCCGGCCAAUAAUGCAGCAAAAUUCUAUUCUUUGACGAUCUUAUCCACUGGAAUAGUCAGAGCAUCUGAAAAUAUUAAAUGUGGUUGUUUUCCUGAUUAUAUAUCUAUUGUUCCUUGAAAAUAUUUUCUGCAACAUCUUUCCGUUAAGCCAAAAGCAAAGUUGCCUAUUCAUGUGCUGCCCAGAAGUCAAAGGAGCAGUUCCAAAGCAUCCUGAUACUGAGGAGGGCUUCCACAGAGUGGUGGAGGCAAAUUUUCUUGGAAUUGGAAAGAUACUUCAGGAGCAUUCCACUUCUGAGCAUUAUGAUCCCCAAGCUCACAGAGUCUAACAACUUAUCCAAAUCACAUGGCCUUGCUUCAGACACCUAUGGCUCCAAGUUGUUAUUCUCCUGUUAGGGUUUGCCAUUAGCUCUGCUCGGCAACGUUGCCUGUCACAGGUAUAUCUAAUACUCUAGGGCCUUCUAGAUGAUAUGGCCCAAGCGAAAGUACUAUUUGCACCAUGGGCCAGACCUACUAACACAGCUCUUCUCUGGACCCCUUUCAAACCUGGCGGUUUUCCAUGCUACUCAGUGAAUGGAUUAGAGAAGCAUUUUUAAGUGUAGAAUUUGUCAAUCCCAAAUCCAAAGAGACCUACAAGGUUUUGUACAUCCUUCAUAGUAGUAGGAAGUGUGAGAGGAAAUAAGUUGUCCUUUACUUUAUAGGAAAUGCCCCCAGCAUGUCACAGAGCACUAAUGAAAUGGGCUCCUGAAUCUCUGCAGGUUUUUUCCCAUCUUUUUGAGUGCAUAUGAUUGAAAAUGCCCUCAUUGUAUUUGGAAAUUCUUGCUCAUCUUGUCUGAUUACAUUAUAUAAUCAAUGACCGGGCAAUGUGAUGUUCUGCAGAAUAUCCUGAUGGCCCAAACUAGACUGUGAUAGGAUGAAAGAGAGUAAACACCCACUUGGGUCAAGACUGCAGAGGUAUCCUCUUCUCUGCCACAUGUGAAUGUGGACUACUUCUGGUCCUCCUUACAGACAGUGAUAGAAAAAAAUCCAUUUAUCUGACCAAUGGACAUGUAUCAGGUACUUGAGUCCACGUUAAUCUUCUUUAGCCAAGAUACUACAUGUAGGAGAGCAGCUGCAAUAGGGGCAAAUACUUAUUUGAAUUUGCAGGAGUUUAACUACCCUUUAAGAUCUGUCUUUCUUUGGUAGUAGGCUAGUAAAUUACAUGGAGGUAAGAUAACGAUUACUACCUCUGUGUUAUUUAGAAAUUUUAGAAUGUCACUAGUAUAUUAUUGUUUUUAAUGUAUUAUAUUCGCCGGGGGUUACUUUAAAAGACUUCCACUUGCCUUUCCUUACUGUCAGCUCUUAUGCUACAGGCAGAUAAACUGAUGUUGGGGUUUUGCCAACUACCAGAUAUGUCCAUUCCAGUUGUACACUUGGGAUUGAGGAAGGGGCCCAUGGAGAGGUGCAUGAACACAUCUGGGCCAAGCAAGCCAUUUAUUACCUGACUCUCCCAUGUGCCCAUGAAAGAAAAUUCUAAUAUAAACCAUAAAUG